ACCCCCCUUCAAACAAUAUGAACUACCCCCUAAAAGCAAUAAAAAUUACAUUUAUCUCCCCUUAACCUGCAAAUACACAUACAUACAUUUUUGUAUUGAUGGUGAGCAAUUUAACAGACCUUAAAAUGUAAUAACAUGUGUGCUAAAAUUGUUUUGUGAAAUGUUUCAGGAAGACAAGUCUUGUUUUAAUUUAGUUUGAGUUGUGUUUUUCUUCUUUUUUCGGACGAACAUGCUAUUCUUAAAGGCGAUUCAUGCUGAGUGUGGAUCGAAACAUAGUACAGGACAACAUCCCCUCCUUGGUUUCUGCCCUGUCCAUGAUGUUUGGGAGCUAUUAUUGCUUCAACAUCGCCUACCCGUCAGAGCUGGCAUCCACCCUGGAGUUUGUCCAGAGGUGUUUUUUCUCCAUCAACCCAGAGAAGGGCACCAAAGUGGAGAAGACAUCCCGUCUUCAGGUGAACCCGAGAGUCCUCACCUUGAUACAGGAACUUUCGGACCAUGAGUGGCGUAAUGUCUGAAUAUGGACAGUAAGAUCAAUGGCAUGUGGCGAUGUGCCCAAGUUACAGUUUGUUUGAUUGUUUAAAUCGUAGUUACAAUUUUAAGUGCCUUUUUUUUAUGUUCUUUUAACUAAUUUAAAAAAAUGCAAUAUGUAACUCUCAAAAUGUCAAACUAUUCUUUUAAGGUCAUUGUAGCCACUCUUGCGGUUUGCUGUUACAAAGUGAAGUUGCUUAAACAAUCUUCAUUUGGCUUAUGUGGAUGUAAAAGCUCAGGACAUUACUGUUGAGUGUAAAAAUGUUGACGUGUUUUGUUUUCCACUUGGGUUUUUGCUUCUGAAGUGAAGGGUCUCUGCUGACCCUACCUCUUCACCUAUCUCACUUAGACACACACUCAUAUGUUUUGUAACUGUAGCUUCAUCACGUACACACUUCCUUUAGCAAUGAACAUGUAUUCAACUAAGACAAUCCCUUAUUUUGGCAAAUGUAUAGCUCAGUCUGUGGCUGUGACAGUCGAGUAUUAUAUUAUACAGGUGCCCACUAUAAGAGAUGAGACAUAUAAAGUACUAACAUAUUUGAAAACAUUAUUUCCCAUAAAUCAUUUGAUGUGAUGUAAGUAACACUCACUUCCUAUGUUUGCUUCCUUUGCCCCUUCAACAAUAUUCUCCUCCUCUUGCUUUGUUUUUUUAAUUCCCACCUCGUCUGUCGCCGUCGUCCUUUUGCGCUUCCUCUGAGUAUUCCUUUUCUUUACUUCUACUUUUCCAUCCUUGUCUUUCUUCAUUAGUUGCUCCUGCCUCUUUCUUCUCUCCAAUAGUUCAUUAGCCUUCACAUUUCCCCCACUUAUCCUUCCCUCACUUGCACCCUGUUCCUUCCUAACCUUGUUUAAAAUAACUUCGGGUUGUCUCCUCAGACAAGAGACAAAAAGGGAGCAGAGGGAAGGGUCUUCAGGCAGCUUUUUGACGCCCAGCUGCAUCAUACAGGACUUAAGAGCUGCUCUGUCCUCUACUCUCUCACUUGUCGUGUUGCUUAUCCUCUUUUUCCCAGAUGUAGUCAUGCCUAAUAUUUCCUCAUCGGAUUCACUUUCCAUCAUGUCAGGUUGCUUGUGUUUCAUUCCGUUGCUUUCCUUCCUCUCCUCUUCCACUUGUUCUUCACCUUUGAUCGAGUAUUAUAUUAUACAGGUGCCCACUAUAAGAGAUGAGACAUAUAAAGUACUAAAAAUAUUUUAAAAAAGUAUUUCCCAUAAAUCAUUUGAUGUGAUGUAAGUAACCUCUCAACUUUGUUCAGCUUGAAUUUCCUGGACAAUGUGAGCUGUUUGUUUAUUGUGCAGCCUUAGUUUGUAUGUUUUACCAAUAUGUAUGUUGAGAAAUGACAGAUUCUUGGAAAGGCAAGUUCUUGUUGGAAUUUGUUCAACUUUUAAUACAGUGGCUCUUGAGGUGUAUCUAGCUUUGCAUUUUUUAUUUUAAGUGCUUAAUCUGUGUACCCUGGAUUACAUUCUUCACAUUUCUGGUAAUAGUCAAACAUAUAUAUACGAAGGCAGUGUAGUUUAAAUGAAAUCUUUCAAUCUGACUAAUGUAUAGGAAAAACUUUUUUUUUCCACUGAGCAAUAAUCCUUACAGGCGGUUUUAUACUAUAUAUUUGAGAUU